CCGAUCUUAGCUCAGUUGGAAGAGCGCAAGACUGUAACGGAUAAAUUCAUCAAAGGACAUCUUGAUGUCGCCUGUUCGAGCCAGGCAGGUCGGA